ACGGGUGAGGAAUACAUCGGAAUCUGCCUUGUUGUGGGGGAUAACGUAGGGAAACUUACGCUAAUACCGCAUAAGACCGAAAGGUGAAAGUGGGGGACCGCAAGGCCUCACGCGACAAGAUGAGCCGAUGUCGGAUUAGCUAGUUGGUGAGGUAAUGGCUCACCAAGGCGACGAUCCGUAGCUGGUCUGAGAGGAUGAUCAGCCACACUGGAACUGAGACACGGUCCAGACUCCUACGGGAGGCAGCAGUGGGGAAUAUUGGACAAUGGGCGCAAGCCUGAUCCAGCCAUGCCGCGUGGGUGAAGAAGGCCUUCGGGUUGUAAAGCCCUUUUGUUGGGGAAGAAAUCGUACGGGGUAAUAUCCCGUGCGGAUGACGGUACCCAAAGAAUAAGCACCGGCUAGCUUCGUGCCAGCAGCCGCGGUAAUACGAAGGGUGCAAGCGUUACUCGGAGUUACUGGGCGUAAAGCGUGCGUAGGCGGUUCGUUAAGUCUGUCGUGAAAGCCCUGGGCUCAACCUGGGAAUUGCGAUGGAUACUGGCGAGCUAGAGUACGGUAGAGGAUGGUGGAAUUCCCGGCGUAGCGGUG
rnacentral:rRNA from 1 species